UGGGGAAUAUUGGACAAUGUGCGCAAGCCUGAUCCAGCCAUGCCGCGUGAGGGAUGAAGGCCCUAGGUUUGUAAAGCUCUUUCACCGGUGAAGAUAAUGACGUUAACCGGAGAAGAAGCCCCGGCUAACUUCGCGCCAGCAGCCGCGGUAAUACAAAGCGGGCUAGCGUUGUUCGGUUUUACUGGGCGUAAAGCCCACGUAGGCGGACUAUUAAGUCAGGGGGGAAAUCCCGGGGCUCAACCCCGGAACUGCCUUUGAUACUGGUAGUAUUGAGUUCGAGAGAGGUGAAUGGAAUUCCGGGUGUAGAGGUGAAAUUCGUAGAUAUUCGGAGGAACACCAGUGGCGAAGGCGGCUCACUGGCUCGAUACUGACGCUGAGGUGCGAAAGCGUGGGGAGCAAACAGG
rnacentral:rRNA from 1 species